AGAACGAACGCUGGCGGCAGGCUUAACACAUGCAAGUCGAACGCUCGUAGCAAUACGGGAGUGGCAGACGGGUGAGUAACGCGUGGGAACAUACCCUCCGGUUCGGAAUAACUCAGGGAAACUUGAGCUAAAUACCGGAUACGGCUGAGAGGCGAAAGAUUUAUCGCCGGAGGAUUGGCCCGCGUCCGAUUAGCUAGUUGGUGAGGUAACGGCUCACCAAGGCGACGAUCGGUAGCUGGUCUGAGAGGAUGAUCAGCCACAUUGGGACUGAGACACGGCCCAAACUCCUACGGGAGGCAGCAGUGGGGAAUAUUGGACAAUGGGCGCAAGCCUGAUCCAGCCAUGCCGCGUGAGUGAUGACGGCCUUAGGGUGUAAAGCUCUUUCGCUCGGGACGAUAAUGACGGUACCGAGAUAAGAAGCCCGGCUAACUUCGCGCCAGCAGCGC
rnacentral:rRNA from 1 species